UUCUUAACUAAGAAGGAAAACUAACACAAUAAGAUGGAGUGUAUAGAAUAAAAUU
rnacentral:sRNA from 1 species